GAUGAACGCUGGCGGCGUGCCUAAUACAUGCAAGUCGAGCGAACGGACGAGAAGCUUGCUUCUCUGAUGUUAGCGGCGGACGGGUGAGUAACACGUGGAUAACCUACCUAUAAGACUGGGAUAACUUCGGGAAACCGGAGCUAAUACCGGAUAAUAUUUUGAACCGCAUGGUUCAAAAGUGAAAGACGGUCUUGCUGUCACUUAUAGAUGGAUCCGCGCUGCAUUAGCUAGUUGGUAAGGUAACGGCUUACCAAGGCAACGAUGCAUAGCCGACCUGAGAGGGUGAUCGGCCACACUGGAACUGAGACACGGUCCAGACUCCUACGGGAGGCAGCAGUAGGGAAUCUUCCGCAAUGGGCGAAAGCCUGACGGAGCAACGCCGCGUGAGUGAUGAAGGUCUUCGGAUCGUAAAACUCUGUUAUUAGGGAAGAACAUAUGUGUAAGUAACUGUGCACAUCUUGACGGUACCUAAUCAGAAAGCCACGGCUAACUACGUGCCAGCAGCCGCGGUAAUACGUAGGUGGCAAGCGUUAUCCGGAAUUAUUGGGCGUAAAGCGCGCGUAGGCGGUUUUUUAAGUCUGAUGUGAAAGCCCACGGCUCAUUCGUGGAGGGUCAUUGGAAACUGGAAAACUUGAGUGCAGAAGAGGAAAGUGGAAUUCCAUGUGUAGCGGUGAAAUGCGCAGAGAUAUGGAGGAACACCAGUGGCGAAGGCGACUUUCUGGUCUGUAACUGACGCUGAUGUGCGAAAGCGUGGGGAUCAAACAGGAUUAGAUACCCUGGUAGUCCACGCCGUAAACGAUGAGUGCUAAGUGUUAGGGGGUUUCCGCCCCUUAGUGCUGCAGCUAACGCAUUAAGCACUCCGCCUGGGGAGUACGACCGCAAGGUUGAAACUCAAAGGAAUUGACGGGGACCCGCACAAGCGGUGGAGCAUGUGGUUUAAUUCGAAGCAACGCGAAGAACCUUACCAAAUCUUGACAUCCUUUGACAACUCUAGAGAUAGAGCCUUCCCCUUCGGGGGACAAAGUGACAGGUGGUGCAUGGUUGUCGUCAGCUCGUGUCGUGAGAUGUUGGGUUAAGUCCCGCAACGAGCGCAACCCUUAAGCUUAGUUGCCAUCAUUAAGUUGGGCACUCUAAGUUGACUGCCGGUGACAAACCGGAGGAAGGUGGGGAUGACGUCAAAUCAUCAUGCCCCUUAUGAUUUGGGCUACACACGUGCUACAAUGGACAAUACAAAGGGCAGCGAAACCGCGAGGUCAAGCAAAUCCCAUAAAGUUGUUCUCAGUUCGGAUUGUAGUCUGCAACUCGACUACAUGAAGCUGGAAUCGCUAGUAAUCGUAGAUCAGCAUGCUACGGUGAAUACGUUCCCGGGUCU
rnacentral:rRNA from 1 species